ncrna:Shigella sonnei Ss046 C4 antisense RNA
AAUUAUGGUGGGGCGCAUGGGGGAGCUGAAAAGCUCGCCGGUCGGUUUCCCGGUAGUUCCAACCCUGUGCGUCUCACCACCCGA